GGCUAUGAGGGCAAUCUGGCUGCAACAUCUGACGCCCCAAUGAUCACCAGGGUUGAUUCUGCCAAUCUGGCCAGCUAGGUGGGUAUCCCCACCCUCCUUCACUGCUCCAUGUGUGUACCCCCAGAUGUGGCAUGCUUGGCUAGAGAGGAUGACCUUCCCUGAUAGAGCUUCCAAACAGUCUCUCAAGGUCGUAGA
rnacentral:snRNA from 1 species